rnacentral:rRNA from 1 species
AGUCACUGACAUUAGAUACCCGGGUAGUCCAGGGUGUAAACGCUGCAGACUUGGUGUUGGGAACCCUUCGGGGGUGCUCAGUGCCGGAGAGAAGUUGUUAAGUCUGCUACUUGGGAGUACGUCCGCAAGGAUGAAACUUAAAGGAAUUGGCGGGGGAGCACCGCAACGGGAGGAGCGUGCGGUUUAAUUGGAUUCAACGACCGAAAAACUCACCAGCAGCGACUGUUACAUGAAAGUCAGGUUGAUGACCUUACUAGAUUUUCAG